UUGGCAAACGUUACUCAAAAUUAUUAUUCCAAAUAAAAAUUAAAAUUACAAUGUAUUUAUAAUGAAAACUUGUGUACAAAAUAUAGCUCAAGAUCGCAGUUUAGUAUACGAAACUUAAAAGGCGAUAUGUCGUUUAAAACUAUGAAGAAAAUGUAAAACUACUAAUUAAACAAAAUAUAUUUCCAGUGCUAUUAAAAUGAAUAAAAGCUUAUGAAAUGAAAAAGUGAAUAGAAGUGCAUAUAUGUAUGUAAAAAAAAUAUAAAUGUGAGAUACAAUAUACUCUUAUUAAGAAUUCUUGUUAAUAAUGUAUAUACCUACUUAUACCGCUCAAUAGUUAUGAAAAUGUAAUUGGAUUUCAAGGAAAUAAUGACAAUUGGUCUUGAUUUUGACUUUAUGUAACAAGAACAUGUACUCUGC